AAGAAAGCGUAAUAGCUCACUGGUCGAGUCGGCCUGCGCGGAAGAUGUAACGGGGCUAAACCAUGCACCGAAGCUGCGGCAGCGACGCUGAUGCGUUGUUGGGUAGGGGAGCGUUCUGUAAGCCUGUGAAGGUGUGCUGUGAGGCAUGCUGGAGGUAUCAGAAGUGCGAAUGCUGACAUAAGUAACGAUAAAGCGGGUGAAAAGCCCGCUCGCCGGAAGACCAAGGGUUCCUGUCCAACGUUAAUCGGGGCAGGGUGAGUCGACCCCUAAGGCGAGGCCGAAAGGCGUAGUCGAUGGGAAACAGGUUAAUAUUCCUGUACUUGGUGUUACUGCGAAGGGGGGACGGAGAAGGCUAUGUUGGCCGGGCGACGGUUGUCCCGGUUUAAGCGUGUAGGCUGGUUUUCCAGGCAAAUCCGGAAAAUCAAGGCUUAGGCGUGAUGACGAGGCACUACGGUGCUGAAGCAACAAAUGCCCUGCUUCCAGGAAAAGCCUCUAAGCAUCAGGUAACAUCAAAUCGUACCCCAAACCGACACAGGUGGUCAGGUAGAGAAUACCAAGGCGCUUGAGAGAACUCGGGUGAAGGAACUAGGCAAAAUGGUGCCGUAACUUCGGGAGAAGGCACGCUGAUAUGUAGGUGAAGCGACUUGCUCGUGGAGCUGAAAUCAGUCGAAGAUACCAGCUGGCUGCAACUGUUUAUUAAAAACACAGCACUGUGCAAACACGAAAGUGGACGUAUACGGUGUGACGCCUGCCCGGUGCCGGAAGGUUAAUUGAUGGGGUUAGCGCAAGCGAAGCUCUUGAUCGAAGCCCCGGUAAACGGCGGCCGUAACUAUAACGGUCCUAAGGUAGCGAAAUUCCUUGUCGGGUAAGUUCCGACCUGCACGAAUGGCGUAAUGAUGGCCAGGCUGUCUCCACCCGAGACUCAGUGAAAUUGAACUCGCUGUGAAGAUGCAGUGUACCCGCGGCAAGACGGAAAGACCCCGUGAACCUUUACUAUAGCUUGACACUGAACAUUGAGCCUUGAUGUGUAGGAUAGGUGGGAGGCUUUGAAGUGUGGACGCCAGUCUGCAUGGAGCCGACCUUGAAAUACCACCCUUUAAUGUUUGAUGUUCUAACGUUGACCCGUAAUCCGGGUUGCGGACAGUGUCUGGUGGGUAGUUUGACUGGGGCGGUCUCCUCCUAAAGAGUAACGGAGGAGCACGAAGGUUGGCUAAUCCUGGUCGGACAUCAGGAGGUUAGUGCAAUGGCAUAAGCCAGCUUGACUGCGAGCGUGACGGCGCGAGCAGGUGCGAAAGCAGGUCAUAGUGAUCCGGUGGUUCUGAAUGGAAGGGCCAUCGCUCAACGGAUAAAAGGUACUCCGGGGAUAACAGGCUGAUACCGCCCAAGAGUUCAUAUCGACGGCGGUGUUUGGCACCUCGAUGU
rnacentral:rRNA from 1 species